GGGGCUGUAGCUCAGUGGUAGAGCACUUGCUUAGCAUGUGUGAGGCCCUGGGUUCAAUCCUCAGCACCA
rnacentral:tRNA from 1 species